GAUGAACGCUAGCGGCAGGCUUAACACAUGCAAGUCGAGGGGUAUAGGUUUUCGGACCUAGAGACCGGCGCACGGGUGCGUAACGCGUAUGCAAUCUACCUUUCACAGAGGGAUAGCCCAGAGAAAUUUGGAUUAAUACCUCAUAGUAUUAUGAAGUGGCAUCAUUUUAUAAUUAAAGUUCCAACGGUGAAAGAUGAGCAUGCGUCCCAUUAGCUAGAUGGUAAGGUAACGGCUUACCAUGGCGACGAUGGGUAGGGGUCCUGAGAGGGAGAUCCCCCACACUGGUACUGAGACACGGACCAGACUCCUACGGGAGGCAGCAGUGAGGAAUAUUGGUCAAUGGACGCAAGUCUGAACCAGCCAUGCCGCGUGCAGGAUGACGGUCCUAUGGAUUGUAAACUGCUUUUGUACGAGAAGAAACACUCCUUCGUGAAGGAGCUUGACGGUAUCGUAAGAAUAAGGAUCGGCUAACUCCGUGCCAGCCGCCGCGGUAA
rnacentral:rRNA from 1 species